CUCUCGAGCUGCAACUAACUCUGUUAAGCUUAAAGGUGCUCAACAAACCAAUACAACUUGAGGACUCGAGUCACACGAGCCUCAACAACGUUUGUUCGAAGAUACCGCACUCCAAGACUUCAAACGAAGGAGUGAUACCUUCCUUCUUACAACAAGGGAUUAGACUUCCCUUCAAGUGUAUAAAAACACUUAGCACUCAAGAACAUGACUCUCUUGUAGAGUAGAUAUGAGUAGACUUAAGAACGC
rnacentral:lncRNA from 1 species